AGUGAGGAAUAUUGGUCAAUGGGCGCAAGCCUGAACCAGCCAUGCCGCGUGCAGGAUGACGGUCCUAUGGAUUGUAAACUGCUUUUGUACGGGAAGAAACACUCCUUCGUGAAGGAGCUUGACGGUACCGUAAGAAUAAGGAUCGGCUAACUCCGUGCCAGCAGCCGCGGUAAUACGGAGGAUCCAAGCGUUAUCCGGAAUCAUUGGGUUUAAAGGGUCCGUAGGCGGUCUUGUAAGUCAGUGGUGAAAGCCCAUCGCUCAACGAUGGAACGGCCAUUGAUACUGCAGGACUUGAAUUAUUGGGAAGUAACUAGAAUAUGUAGUGUAGCGGUGAAAUGCUUAGAGAUUACAUGGAAUACCAAUUGCGAAGGCAGGUUACUACCAAUGGAUUGACGCUGAUGGACGAAAGCGUGGGUAGCGAA
rnacentral:rRNA from 1 species